rnacentral:lncRNA from 1 species
AAAAAUCAAGAAUUAAAACAAAGAAUCUACAUAUUGUAAAUAGGGUAGAGACAAAUUAUUCAGAAAAGCAACAACAACAACAAAACCAUGACAAUGAACGUGUCCUGAAAUUCCUUCUUUUCUGACACUGGAGAGUCUUGAUGUAGAAAUAUUUGCUAGUUGUAUGAUGUUUUUACUUUUUUUUUUUUUAGGUGUGAUGAUGUUUGCCUUUAAAAUUCUUUCUCUAUGACACAAAAACAUAUUUUGCUGAGCAAACUGUAAUCUUGAGACUAUUAAUGGAAAAUUGAACUAAUACAUUUUAAAAUAUAGUUGGUAAACAUGAAGUACUACUUAAAUGUUCUAUUCUUUUACUAAGUAGCACAGAGAACCAUAUGAAAAUAAAGGCAUUAUUUACAUUCUAAAAUUAUAUUUCUGCUUUAUAAGAGGAUUUAGCAGGGUAUAUCUUUAACAAAUAGAUCGUUCUAUACGGUCUUACAUUUGAAAUUUGGCCUAUUUUAUAAAAAUAGGACAUAGUCCCUAAAUUGGUGAUAUAUUGGUAAUUCCUGAAUUAUGCUGCUUUGUAAUUUUAAAACAAUUAAUUGUUUUCAAAUGGUUAUAUUUUACUUCCACAAAUUGUCUAUUCAGUCAUUAAUUUAACUUUAGUUCUCUUAUCUGUGCUAUUGGCUUUUUUUUUUUUUUUUUUAAGAGAACUUCUCACAAAUCAGGAAAAAAUUAAGUUUGAGGUAAGGGGCCAUGUUCCUGGAACCUGUGUAGGAGUGAGAGGAGAGGAGCAGGCCCACAGAACUGUUUUCUCUGAAUGCUAGUGCACAGCACGUUCAACAUACACUGGAUAACAGUACAGCAACACAAUCUUUUAGUUAAGUUUUUGUGUAUUUUGAGGAUAUGAACUUUUUCACUUGGCAUAUUGUGUACAUUUACAUAUGCAUAUACAUAGAUGUGUUAUAUAUAUAUGUGUGUGUAUAUAUAUACACACACACAAACACACACACACACACAUAUAAAUAGAGGGAGAGGAAUUAGCACACACACUUCAAAUAUUAAGAGUUAGUUUAAUGGAGGUAACUGUGGGAAAUAAUUAUACAAUUGGUGCCAUAUGAGCUUUCAACAGGAAUUCAGGUUUUAGAAGGAACUGAUGAGAUUCAAAGAUAUCAUAUUUUCAAGAGAUAAUGAAUUUUUUAAAACUUGAACAAGUAAAAAACAAUGUUUAACACUCUAGGACCUCAAUAUACUUAGAUAUGUGGAAUUCUGAGAUGAGACUGAAUCUAAGCUUGUAUUAAAAUCUUGACUGUCAGUAAAUUAAUAAUUUUGAGUAGCUUAAAUCUCUGAGCAUCCCGAGUUAGCAAAUCUGAGGUCUGAAUUUUCCUCAAAUCUCUUAACUUUUUGAACACAGACAUACCACCAAUGAAAAACCCCACCUCUGCCAUCAUGUUAUGGUCACAGCGAGACACAGGUACACUAAAGACACUGCAUGGGCUACUGACCUUCGGGCAUGUGUAUAAGAUGGGAAAGGACAUUUUAUGUGCAGAUUUGGACCCCAAACCCAGUAUCUCAUUGUAUAUAUGCAAAUAAUUUUAAAAAUCUGAAAGGUACAGCAUAUCUGGUUCCAAGCAAUCUAGGUAAGUGACCCUCAGCUUUGGUAGUGUCUUCCUGCAGCCUCUCAUGUCGAUUAUCCAUGCUAAUUCUGAAGAAGCUGGCCCUAAUAAGUAGUUUGCUCCCAUUACUGUUAUUAACAUGUUAUAAAAAUGGUUUUAAAAAGAACUUGCAGCUCAUCUGACUGACAUUUGUCAUGAUGAAUGUAUUAGAGUAAUUAAAAUUAACAAAAGCCUUGUAAAAGGUAAUAUAAUAAAAUGAUAAGGGUUUAGAUCUUUGUCAGUCAGAUAUGGUUUGAUUUGUGGGUCUAGUUCUUAAUUGUUGUAAGCAAAUUAAUUUCUUAUCUAUAAAAUAUUAUACUCUCUGCCUAGUGAGAAAAUUAUAAUUGCAGUGUACAUGAAAUGUCUGACGCUGUGUUUAACAUAUUGUAGCUAUUUUAGAAUACUGAUUGUAUAAACAUACAUCUUUUGGACCCUUGUUUGUUGGGUUGUGUAAAUGGCGUAGCUUACAGAUAAAGCUUUGCUACAGCCUGUCUGACAGGAGUAGUGCACUGCUCUUACUGUACUGAAGUUACCACAGGUGGUCCAGACACACACACUCUUUAGUCAGCCUUUUCCCUGGGUGGCUACAUGUGUCUGAUCACAAACAGUUUAGGAUUCAGUCAGAGCAAGCUACCGAUUGCACCCUCAUUUUAAAAUGGUUGUUGGUAAGCUAAAGAGUUGAGGGAGGGACUGAGUGCAAAGGCCUUGACUUGGCUCCCACACCUUCAUGAUGGUUUCCAACCACUCCUGACUCCAUCUUCAGAACUCCAUCAGUCAGAUUCCAUCUUCGGGUUUCUGGCACUAGGCACACGUAUGGUACAUAUAUGUACAUGUAGACACUAGUACAUACACAUAAACAAAACCAAAAUCUUUCUUAACAUCUUUAAGAACAAGUCAUUGUUAGAUCACAAAAAGGGAAAUCAAUGAUUUUCUUAGUGUUUUCCUGUUUUUGUUUUGUAAUUCACCCUAGCCUAGAAAUUACAAUCUCUUGCCCCUCUGCUCCUGAGUGCUCAGAUGUGUCUGCAAGCACCACCAUGCCUUAAAAUCACAUAUCAGUCUUACAUACAUAACACCUAUCCUUUUGCUUACCUUGCAUCUGAUGGGUUGUGAGAGAGAUUAUUAUGAGCCAGGAGAGACAACUACAGUCCUGUGAUACAUGGUUGCUGAUGGUCUUCAUUCUUCAGUUCCAUCUCAUGUAUACCGUUAGGAAUUCAAUCUUUCUAUUUCCCGAAGAAAAGAUAAUCUUUCCUUGUUUAUUGUUACAGCAAAUUGUAGACGUCAUUGUCUAAUUCUGUUUUAUAUGUAUAAGUAAUUAAGUGAUACAUCUUAAAUUUGUUUUAAAUACUAGGUUAAAUGAUUCAGGUUGCCUUUAGAGUAUAUGAACCUCCAGCAACGCUUUGAGUUGGAGUAAGUUUAUAUGAAAAGCAAAAUAGUAGAGAUGAGUGAGCCUGUUUUUAAAGUGAUACAGCUGUAUUCAAUACUCUGGGUUUUUUCUUCCCUUAAGAUUAGUAGACAGUUUAUUAGUCUGUAUCCACUACAUUCUCUGUGUUUUCGGGUUUUAGUAAUGGUUUGAAUCAGUGAGUCAAAGAGUAACAGUGAAAGUGCUGUGGUUUUCUUUUUUGGUAAUGGAUCCAAUUUAAUGGGUAAAAGAUGCUUAUGACUAAUUAACACCUGGUAGUUACUGAACAUUCAUGCAUUUCUGAAGGUAGUUGGUAUCCUGCGGUUUUAGUACUCUCUCAGAAUACUGUAUUAAUAUUUAUUAGUUAUAAAGAGUGGUUAUAGCCGGGUGUGGUGGCACACACCUUUAAUCCCAGCACUGGGGAGGCAGAGGCAGGUGGAUUUCUGAGUUCAAGACCACCCUGGUCUACAAAGUGAGUUCAGAAACCCUGUCUCGAAAACAAAACAAAACAAAAAAGAGUGGUUAUUUUAAAAAAUAACUUGCCAAGUCUUUAUCUCAGUUAUCAUUUGAUAGUAUAUAACUUUGAUAUGUUUUACUGAUAAGAAUUUGUGUGUAUCAAAAGGAAAAUUAAAUUUAUUGUUGUGUGUGUGUCCUAAAGCCACUUCAUGACCUGUUUUUGUUUCCUUUUUCUAUAGAUUUCAGAAGUGGAUUGCAAAGAUGCGUUAGAAAUGAUCUGUAACUUAGAGUCAGAGGGUGAUGAGAAAAGCGCCCUGGUUUUGUGUACUGCCUUUCUGUCACGGCAGCUCCAGCAAGGAGAUAUGUACUGUGCUUGGUGAGUUGCUAUUCUUUUCUAAGGAUUUUGUUAAAUUAGUAAACAAAGGUCAGGUGGGGUGACACAAGCCUUUAAUCCCAUUACUCUGGUGGCUUUGUAAACUCAUUUUUACGAUUUCCAGUCUUGCCUGGCCUACGCAGUAAGUUGCAGGUCAGCCAGCACCACAUAGUGAGACCCUGUC